UCUGCUCAUGCUUUCUCUCUCUCUCAAAUAAAUAAAUAAAAUCUUAAAAAGAAAAAAAAAAAAAGGCAGCCGCUGCCAAAGGCUCUGCACCAUUGAUCUCUAAACAGAACUGAGAUCCUUCACUGUUUGAACAAAAUAAUCAGUUAAGUGCCAAGACCCGACCGGGACUGGACUGAAACCUUAUCUCAACUGCAUGACCGUAGACUGACUUCGCUUUUGGUCUGUUAACCCCCUCUGUUACCCUGUUGCGUGACUUGUCUUAGGUUCUGCUCUCUGUGCUGCCUAAGAAGCCAAGUGAAUCCCGUGGCAAAAUGUCAUUGACUUUGGACCCCUGAACCUGCUUGAUCAUUAUGUUCACCGCGCUCUAAUGCUGAACAAAGCUGACGUUGUGGAAAGGCACAACGCCGUUUGUGUCCCUUCAUUGUGGGCUCGUAACAUCGUUCAUUUAAUUCCAUCUGUAGAUCUAGAAAGGUUCUUACUCUUGCAAUGGCUCUUUUCUAUAUACACAUUUAAAGUCAUGCCCAUGAAUGUUCCUCCACGUGAAAAAGCCCACACCCACAGCUGUCACUUAGACCUGGGGUUUGCUCGUAAGGUUUUCUAUUCAUGCGUUCCUCCUACCUGUUCCUCGAUUUUGUCACCAGCUAACAGUUAAGUUUAAGGGGAGAUUUGGAAGGAAAGUUGCAAAUAGGAAAGCUUCACCUUUCCUUUAUUGUUUAUAGUCAGUGUUCAGUAGUCAAGAAAUACAGAUAUAUUUGUGUUUCUGGUGGUUUGGAAGCCCUGCGACUGAGCAAAUUCCUUUCCUCUUACUGUAUCUCACCUUCGCUUCCGCAACACGAGAAGCCCGAGUCACCUGACUUGAGGGUCCUUCUGUUCCUUGGGUUUCCUUGGAAAUCUCAAGUCUGAGAGUGACUUCUACAACUGUCAUCCCCCCUCAGAAAUUUCUGUCUCUGGUGGUUCAGGACCAGAACACACAAUGUAGUUCAUCACGAUGGAGAGGACCCCACUUCUGUGGGAAUGGAUUACUUCUUCCAACUGAACAUGGAGACCCAGUGUUGAAGAACUCUGGUGGUUUCUUCUCCAUCUUUGGAAAUAGAACGAUAGGGAAGAAUCUGGAGCCUCGCUUCAGUUUAGCUGGAAUCUUCUCUUACACCACCAUUAAAGGUGCACUGCAAGGACAAGAGGUUUGUGUAAUGUCCUACCAAGGCCUGACCAGGAAACAUAUCUAUAGCCUCGUGGGUGGAGCCUUUGACAGAGCCCAAGUCGUUCACACUCCGGGGCCCCCCAGGACUGAAGAGAGGAGGAGGAUGGGCUGGAUGCCACUUCCCUGAGGGCGAGGUAGUGUCUACGUCCUCCAUACCCCACAAAGCCCGUGUCCCCCAGCCCGCUGGGUGGGCUUUACCGGAACAUGUCAGGGGUCUUCUCUAGCCUCAGUCUCAUCACCAGGUUUUUGUUACCAUUCAUCUCAUCUUCUUGACUUUUU